AACGAACGCUGGCGGCAGGCUUAACACAUGCAAGUCGAACGCCCCGCAAGGGGAGUGGCAGACGGGUGAGUAACGCGUGGGAAUCUACCGUACCCUACGGAACAACAGUUGGAAACGACUGCUAAUACCGUAUACGCCCUACGGGGGAAAGAUUUAUCGGGGUAUGAUGAGCCCGCGUUGGAUUAGCUAGUUGGUGGGGUAAAGGCCUACCAAGGCGACGAUCCAUAGCUGGUCUGAGAGGAUGAUCAGCCACAUUGGGACUGAGACACGGCUCAAACUCCUACGGGAGGCAGCAGUGGGGAAUAUUGGACAAUGGACGCAAGCCUGAUCCAGCCAUGCCGCGUGAGUGAUGAAGGUCUUAGGAUUGUAAAGCUCUUUCACCGAUGAAGAUAAUGACGGUAGUCGGAGAAGAAGCCCCGGCUAACUUCGUGCCAGCCGCCGCGGUAA
rnacentral:rRNA from 1 species